GCCCAUAAGAGGGGGAUAACAUCCGGAAACGGUGCUAAUACCGCAUAGUUUUCUUGAUCGCAUGAUUGAGAAAGGAAAGACGGCCUUUGUGCUGUCGACUUAUGGAUGGACCCGCGGCGUAUUAGUUAGUUGGUGAGGUAAUGGCUCACCAAGACGAUGAUACGUAGCCGACCUGAGAGGGUGAUCGGCCACAUUCGGGACUGAGACACGGCCCAAACUCCUACGGGAGGCAGCAGUAGGGAAUCUUCCGCAAUGGACGAAAGUCUGACGGAGCAACGCCGCGUGAGUGAAGAAAAGGUUUUUCGGAUCGUAAAACUCUGUUGUCAGAGAAGAACAAGUUUGGAGAGUAACUGCUCCAGCCUUGACGGUAUCUGACCAGAAAGCCACGGCUAACUACGUGCCAGCCGCAGC
rnacentral:rRNA from 1 species